rnacentral:lncRNA from 1 species
UUUUUUUUUUUUAAAUUUUCCCACUGUACAGCAAGGGGAUUAAGUUAUCCUUACAUGUAUACAUUACAAUUACAUUUUUUUUCCCCACCCUUUGUUCUGUUGCAACAUGAGUAUCUAGACAAAGUUCUCAAUGCUAUUCAGCAGGAUCUCUUUGUAAAUCUAUUCUAAGUUGUGUCUGAUAAGCCCAAGCUCCCCAUCCCUUCCACUCCCUCCCCCUCCCAUCAGGCAGCCACAAGACUUUUCUCCAAGUCCAUGAUUUUCUUUUCUGAGGAGAUGUUCAUUUGUGCUGGAUAUUAGAUUCCAGUUAUAAGUGAUAUCAUAUGGUAUUUGUCUUUGUCUUUCUGGCUCAUUUCGCUCAGUAUGAGAUUCUCCAGUUCCAUCCAUGUUGCUGCAAAUGGCAUUAUGUCAUUCUUUUUUAUGGCUGAGUAGUAUUCCAUUGUGUAUAUAUACCACCUCUUCCGAAUCCAAUCAUCUGUCGAUGGACAUUUGGGUUGUUUCCGUGUCCUGGCUAUUGUGAAUAGUGCUGCAAUGAACAUGCGGGUGCAUGUGUCUCUUUUAAGUAGAGUUUUGUCCGGAUAGAUGCCCAAGAGUGGGAUUGCGGGGUCAUAUGGAAGUUCUAUGUAUAGAUUUCUAAGGUAUCUCCAAACUGUUCUCCAUAGUGGCUGUACCAGUUUACAUUUGGUGGGUGAGUAUUCUAAGAAAAGCCAGGAACACCAAGACAUGCCUAGUGUCAAGGGCACAGCUAGAUCUGUACAGCUGGACAGAAUCCAAGGACAGAGUUGUAGAUGGUCCAGAGUGAUGACUAAGGAAGAGGUGAUGAAGAGCUGCAUCCAACAUUGGAAAGACAAUGCUUUCACUCCCAGAAGUAGAGAGCUUUGGAGGUUUUCAAACCAAGCAGCAAUAUGAAAGGAAAACUACCAUUUCCCCUCGUCUCAGUACUUCUAUGUAGCCUACCUAGAAGGUAUCCAGCAGGCUUCCUGGAGUGUUAAAAAUACCUGAAGCAGCUUCCAAGAUCACCUCUGGGCUACAGGAAAAGUCCAAGAACCCAGGCUUGGUGCCAACAUUUGCAUUGCAGAGGAGAAAAUGGAAACCCAGCAUGGCAAUGGACUAGCCUAUGGCCAGCACCAGAGCUGAGACUUUCAAUAUGUUAACUUAAACUCACAAGAUUUGGAAGAAAUUCUAGUGAGGAAGCAAGUUCAUUAUAUAAGAUUUAUCAGGCUUAAUUCAUCAAGUACCUUUCAGCUGAUAGGAAAAAUAGUUUUUCAAGAAUAGGAACUUCUCUUUCAAUGCCCAGACCAAGGCAACCCCUUCUAGGAAGUUUUCUCUGCUUCCAUCCCCAAGUGGGAAGUGAAUGUGCCAGUUCCAGGCCAUCAUAGCUGUUAGCAAACAGUCAUGGUAACAGUCCUGUAUGGAACCUUUACAGGGCCAGAUAUUUAACCUCCAUAAUCUCUAAACUUCUCAGCAAUCCCUGAGGCAGGUACAAUUACCUUUAUUUUACAAAUGAAUACAGGGAGCCUCAAAGAAGUUCAGGAAUUUGCCCAGAAUCACACAACUUACAAGUUGCAAAGUUCCACUCCACACAGCCUUGGAACCUCCUCUUGCUGUAGGCUUGGAUUUUAGUUCAUUUUUAACUAUGAAUAAGUGCCAGAAAGGUUGACAGCUCAUCUCUUUCAGUUACACUGAAUCCCCAGCACCUAGACUAGCACUGGUCCCAGAGGGGAUUUUCAGUGGAUACUGGCUGAAUAAUAUCCUCUCUGAGGCUCAAGUUCCCCAUGCAUAAAACUCUGAUUCACUAUAAAAACUAAACUAGAUAAUAAAGGAGAAAUUGUUUUAUAAGCCACAAAGACCUAUAUAAUGGUUACUCCAAACCUGAGAUGCUAUGAUUUGACCUUUAGUUGCUGAUAUGUCCAGGCCUUUCUUCUCAUAAUAGCCCAUAAAUAAGCCAUGGUGUCUGAUGGACUAUUGUGCCACCAUGUAGUCUGACAAAUAAAUAAUCAGGAAGAGGGCUUUGGGGGAUGAUAUAAAAGGUACAGAAGAAUUAACAUAGAAUAACUAUCCACCCUUCAAAGAACACCUGUGCACUGUAUCCUAUCAAUCCUGUCCCUUUAAAAACUGACAAGAAAAGUUGUCACCCUCAGGAAUCUGAACUCCUCUCUCAAAUUCAGGACUUCAGACCGGCAUAAACAACUCCAAAAAUCAAUGGAUGCUGCACCUGGAUGAGGAGAGACUGCAAAACAGAGGAUUAUCUUCCCUCAGGAAGAGAAGAGAUAAAGGGAAAUUGAUUGCAGGUGUCAGGCCUGUCCUUUUAUCAGAGCCUGGAGGGUCUCAGAGCCCCGGGGAAGGAAAGUUGCCAUUCUAGUUGCAAAGGGUCCCCUGAAGAUGUCUUCUUUUGACAUAAAACAGCCCGAGCUUCUUAGGAGGUCCGAACUGGCUUCCUCUUUUUCUUCAGAGACUUGGCCUGCUUUCCUCUCCAGAAUCACACUGUCAGCCUCAACAUCUGCUCUGAGUUUUUGCCCUAAAAACCUGAUUGUGGGGAGGGACUCUGACUCCUCAGGCCCAACCCACCAACCCCUUAUUGCUGUCAUAAAAGAUGUGCACAAGGUCCCUCCAUACUUCCCGCGGAGAAACCCAGACAUCUACAUACAGCACUGGUGGCUCCACGGGGCUGACUCACAGCCUCACUCCUUGGCUCAUCACACCAGCCUCUGUCUUAGGAGCUGUCUGAUGGCUCAGUGGCCUCUGGUUAUCAUCUCUCAUCCCUGUCCUGUCCUGGGGACCUCAUCCCUAAUCAUCCCUGCAGGGUCCCCUCUCAUCAAAUCCCCUGUGUCCUCAGAUCGCAUUCUUUCUGCAUUCCAAGCAUCCCUGAACCCCUCUUUCUUAAUGGGUACCCAGGAUUCAUUUUGCUCAGAUAUGGUAAAACACACGGCGUAGAAAUAAUGGUUAAAGGUGGACAUUUACUCACCGCCCUCCUGCACCCCCACAGGACAACAGAGGGAAGUACCACAGCCAGUGCGCAGGCAGAGGGGAGAGGAAGACUGCGGGCUAGCGCCUUUAGUGUGGUUUCCUCAAGAAGGAGCCAGUGAGGCAGAGUAGGCAGGUUUAGGAUUGGCUAGUUUGAAUAAUUUCAGUGGGUUCUGGAGCUUGAGAGCUGUCCCUAGUCAUCGGCCCCUGACCUGGUGUGAUUAGGUCAGGGAAAAUGCCCCGAAUGUUAAAGCCCCGAUAAAGGGAGCAGUUGGGCGUCUGGGCUAUGGAUUGGUUGGUUUGCAUAUGGAAGGCACACUCACAGGCUAGUUAUCUAGACAGGAAUUAGCUGUCUCUGGAAGGGGCAGUCCCUCCAGGGUUGGCGGAACCCUGGGAAUGUCAAAACAUCAAAAUAAUAAAUAAAAUAAAUCUAUACAAUUGCAUCUGUCAAUUACUUUUCCAUCAAGUUGGAAAAAAUACAGAGCAAAAAGACAUGACUCAUACACCCCACACUCUCAGGCAUCCUGGAAGGGCUGGUCUCAGGUGUGCGGGCACCCUGAGGGAGGAAGCUGAUUGUGGGGCAUCCCUAAGUGCUGGGGAACUUGUCUCUCCAAUUCCCAGCUCAUCUCAAUCUGCAGCCAAGGAAAACUUCUGACGAUUGAACCAGUUCACUGAACCAAGUGCUCCCUGGUGCUUUGCAAGUGGGAUCUGGGAGAGAGAAAGAUAAAUCCCUGCCCCUAGGGACAGUCCCUUCGCUGUUUGUUCCAUAUCUCCAGAGGACCGUGAACCAGGGGCUAUGCAAGGCUAGGGGGAUAAAUAGAGCGAAAUGGACACAGACUUUCUGUGUUAGUUUCUUAGGGCUACCAUAAUAAAGCAGCACAAAUUGGGGGCCCUUACAGAAGUUUAUCCUCUCAGUACUGGAGGCUAGACAUCUGAAAUCAAGGUGUUGGUAGGGACAUGCUUCUGAAAUGGAGCAGGACCCUGUGGGACUCCUGGGCACACAAGCCUUUUUGUGUCCCCCAUUUCUUACUUUUAGGGAAUAAGUUUCAGCCUUCAUGGCCUUCCCUGAGCUCCAGAGGCCAGGUUCAAACAGUUGCUAAUUGGGGAAGGGAGGGGAUGCUGAGACCAGGGAGGAACAGUCAAGAAACAAUACUGCAGCCUUGGGGUGGGGUCCUGGUUCCUCUUCAAGGAAUACACAUAACAGUAUCUUUGAGCUCUUCAGCAGGACUAAAACCCCCAACAAAUGAAAACCAGAGAGGAGGACUUGAUAGUCCUGAGGCCACUAAACACCCAACCUUGAAGAAGAAAAGAAGUUUGAAUCUAUCCUGAUCCUUAUCUGUGGCCCUAUUUUCUACUCUAAAACUGUAAAACCACUUCCUAAUCUCUCCCAAAAGCGGGCACAGUCUUUAGGGCAUUAGUCUGCCAUGGCCUCCUUUGCCUGGCAAAGCAAUAAAGCUUUUUUUUUUCUCCUUCACCCAAAACCCUUGUUUCCACAUUUCUAUUCAGCAUCAGUGGACAGAGACUGAUUCACACUUCCUCUGAAGUCUCUGGAGAAGGAGCCUUCUUGCUUCUUCCUCCCUCGGCUGUUGCUGACCAACCUUGGCAUUCCUGGGCUUGUGGCUCACUCCAGUCUCAGCCCCCAUCUUCACAUGGCCAUAUUCCCUCUGUGUCUGUGUCUCUGUCUUCACACUGAGUUCGACUCUCUGUCUGUAUCCAAAUUUCUCUCUUUUCCUAAGGACACCAGUCCUUAUGUAUGUGGGUAUAUACCGCCCACCCUACUCCAAUAUGACCUCAUUUCAACUCAAUGACAUCUACAAAGAUCCCUUUUCCAAAUAGGGUUACAUCCACAGGUACUAGGGGUUGUGGGGAGGGGGGCAUAAUUUAACCCAUAACACUCUCCACGAGGCAUUCACCAACUACAGAAGAGAAAGAAGUAUCCAGAAAUGGCCUAUGAUAUUUUGCAAGGGAGAUAUUUUGAAAAAUUCCAACACUUGUAUCUUGAUAAAAUGUGAAGUUCUUAAUUAAUUCUAUCUAUCUUCUUACUUCCCUCUUACAUUUUGUUGUGACCAGAUGGCAGCACUCUGGCCUCAGAGAAUGCCAACCAAGGUCACUGUGGAAUCCAAGGCAAAAGAAAAUUGAAUGACUGGGACACUUUGCUGUACAGCAGAAAUCAACUCUAACAAAAGUAAAUAAAUAAUAAAAGCUCUGGGGGAUCUCGUUUUAGAGAAUACUAACACCAACUAUGCAGGCUCCACCCUCACAUUCCAAGCCCAUUCCAAAGGCCCCACCUCUAAUUCGAUCACUUUGGGGAUUCAAAUUCAAACCUAUGAAUUUUGAGGGGACACCUUCCAGACCAGAGAAGCAGCCCAGGUAACCACA